rnacentral:lncRNA from 1 species
UGUGUUUUUUCAUGCAACAUAUUUCUUCUGUAUUUUUUAUUAUUAUAUAAAUAUGUCAACAUCUGCUAUUUCCUCAAUUAUGAUGGGAACAUUAAAAGCUAUAAAGAGUAUUGUAUCAGGACAUUAAAAUACCAUCCUCUUCUUUCUACAAAACAUGUAUCCCAAAGCAUCAGUAUUUACAGAGUAACACAACACUUAUUUAGACUACAGGUGAUUUAUUUAGAGUUUUGGCAUCUUGUAUAUAGACACUAUAAAUGCUUAUUGUUGAUGACAAUGUGUUGACUUUAUAUGUCUUUUUAGUUUAUGGUGUGUUGGAGGAGUCCACAUUGUGAAGACUUUGUCAAAAGCAUGUAUUUUACAAAGAACAUAGUGUUAAAGUUAUGACAAUACAAACUUUAAGAUAAACUUAGUCAUGAUAUUUAUUUACAAAAUAUUACCUUCUCAUAACUAUUAAAUAUUGUAUUUUUUUUUUAUUUUUUCAUCAAAAUCACAUUUAUCAUGUUUGAAACAAGUUCUAUCCAUCUUAAUAAGCUCACAGGGAGAAAACUCCAGUUUGUUUUUUUUUAAUUUUUAAAUUAGAUGUCCACAUAUUUACACAAAGAAUCUAAACAUCAUCUGCAGUUUUAUAUUUAUUUCUUUUUUCUCUGGAGAGAGGAUUAUUUUUUGUGUAGACUCCAAACUGAUGCAUUUCCAUGCAGAUACAGCCAUUGUAAAUCUUACUUUGACAAUAGCCAGAAGUUGUACAAAGUAAAAAACAGAAACCACAAGAACUGAACAAUAAAUAACCUCAUAAAAACAACAAGAAUUGGCCCAAAUGUUAUGACUGAUCACUUCUUUGUUCUUGAUAAUCAAAUUUGACAUAGUAAUCAUUACUGAUGACAUAUAAUGCUCAGUAGGUAAUUAUAACUGUAUAAUAAAUGGUCUAACUAAGGUGUUAAACAAAAGUUUUAUACAUAUGUACGUAUUGUGUAUUACACAGUCAUUAUCUAUCUUUUAUCUUGUAUGUAAGAACUGCAAAAAAACAAUCACAUAUUUUAUUAUCUGCAUUGUUAUGUGUUUUUGUUAAUGAUUUUGGUAAACUGUUCAGGUUAUACAGACAACAUGUUUUGGUUUAAUAUAAGUAAAACCUUUCUUCAAAGUCAGCAGUUUGUUCUCCUUUGUGAUUACGUCAUGAUAAACACUUAGUACUAUGGUUUGCAAGUAAUUACUGAUUUUACACCAGAUGUUCUAAAGAAACACAGGAAAGUCAUUAUUGUUGUCUUUUUCUCACCAAAUACAUGUAUUGUCAUUAAAACUAUUUUCACUUUUGAAAUAUUACCUGUAGCACUCAAUCUAGUCUUAGUGUUUCACUCAGUCUUGAAAAAAAGAAAUUGAAGUAGAACUUUGAUUUCU